rnacentral:rRNA from 1 species
AGCGAACGCUGGCGGCAGGCCUAAUACAUGCAAGUCGAACGGCUCUUCGGAGCAGUGGCGGACGGGUGAGUAACGCGUGGGGAUGUGCCCUUUGGUACGGAACAACACAGGGAAACUUGUGCUAAUACCGUAUGUGCCCUUCGGGGGAAAGAUUUAUCGCCAUUGGAGCAGCCCGCGUUGGAUUAGCUAGUUGGUGGGGUAAAAGCCUACCAAGGCGACGAUCCAUAGCUGGUCUGAGAGGAUGAUCAGCCACACUGGGACUGAGACACGGCCCAGACUCCUACGGGAGGCAGCAGUAGGGAAUCUUGCGCAAUGGGCGAAAGCCUGGCGCAGCCAUGCCGCGUGAAUGAUGAAGGUCUUAGGAUUGUAAAAUUCUUUCACCGGGGAAGAUAAUGACGGUACCCGGAGAAGAAGCCCCGGCUAACUUCGUGCCAGCCGCCGCAGUAACAC